UACGUAGGGGGCAAGCGUUGUCCGGAUUUAUUGGGCGUAAAGAGCGUGUAGGCGGUUAUACAGGUCCGCUGUGAAAACUGGAGGCUUAACCUCCAGACGUCGGUGGAAACCGUAUGACUAGAGUCCGGAAGAGGAGAGUGGAAUUCCUGGUGUAGCGGUGAAAUGCGCAGAUAUCAGGAAGAACACCCGUGGCGAAGGCGGCUCUCUGGGACGGUACUGACACUGAGACGCGAAAGCAUGGGGAGCGAACAGG
rnacentral:rRNA from 1 species